UGAAGUUUUCGGAUGGAAGAGAGUCAGCUUAGUGGCGAACGGGUGAGUAACACGUGAGCAACCUGCCUUUCAGUGGGGGACAACAUUUGGAAACGAAUGCUAAUACCGCAUAAGACCACAGUGUCGCAUGGCACAGGGGUCAAAGGAUUUAUCCGCUGAAAGAUGGGCUCGCGUCCGAUUAGCUAGAUGGUGAGGUAACGGCCCACCAUGGCGACGAUCGGUAGCCGGACUGAGAGGUUGAACGGCCACAUUGGGACUGAGACACGGCCCAGACUCCUACGGGAGGCAGCAGUGGGGAAUAUUGCACAAUGGGGGAAACCCUGAUGCAGCGACGCCGCGUGGAGGAAGAAGGUCUUCGGAUUGUAAACUCCUGUCCCAGGGGACGAUAAUGACGGUACCCUGGGAGGAAGCACCGGCUAACUACGUGCCAGCAGCCGCGGUAAAACGUAGGGUGCAAGCGUUGUCCGGAAUUACUGGGUGUAAAGGGAGCGCAGGCGGAUUGGCAAGUUGGGAGUGAAAUCUAUGGGCUCAACCCAUAAAUUGCUUUCAAAACUGUCAGUC
rnacentral:rRNA from 1 species